rnacentral:rRNA from 1 species
UACGUAGGGCGCAAGCGUUGUCCGGAAUUAUUGGGCGUAAAGGGCUCGUAGGCGGUUUGUCGCGUCGGGAGUGAAAACCUUGGGCUUAACUCAGGGCUUGCUUUCGAUACGGGCAGACUAGAGGUAUGCAGGGGAGAACGGAAUUCCUGGUGUAGCGGUGAAAUGCGCAGACAUCAGGAGGAACACCGGUGGCGAAGGCGGUUCUCUGGGCAUGAUCUGACGCUGAGGAGCGAAAGUGUGGGGAGCGAACAGG